CCGAAGCCUGCUGGCAGGAGCCGAGCUGAUCUGAGAGUGUGAUUAUCUGGGCAAAGCGAUUUAUCUGAGAAUCAAUCUGUGCUAAUGAGGUGAAACUCCUGCCCCAGACAGGCCCUAAAUCAACAGGCCAGUAGGCAGGCAACUGGGCAAAUCCCAAACCUGCUCCAGAGCAUGCAGGGGACAGGCUGACAGGGAAGGGGCAGCCAGCAAGAAGGGCAGAAGGAGAGGAAACAGAUGGGGAUUGGAUCCUGGUCCAAUGGAAGUCCUGGAGGUAAAUGGGAAAGAGCAACUGGGUGGCUCAGUAAAUUGAGAGCCAGGCCCAGAGAUGGGAGGUCCUGGGUUCAAAUCUGGAUUUAGACACUUCCUAGCUGCAUGACCCUGGGCAAGUCACUUCAUCCCCUUUGCCUAGCCCUUAUCAUUCUUCUGCCUUGGAACCAAUGUACUGUAUUGAUUCUAAGACAGAAGGUAAGGGUUUAAAAAAAAGAAAAAAGAAGGGGUCCCUCAGCCACUGCCCACUUUCCACCCAAAUCACAAGCGAGCACCACAGUCCUGCAGCGUAGCUGAGAAAGCACCAGCUGACAGUUAGACCUGGGUGCUAAUCUUGGCUCCACGAUUGACUCACUUUGUUAUUUUGGUCAAAGCUACUUCCCCUCUGCAGGUCUUGCUUUCCCCAUCUGAAAAAGGGGGAACUGAAUUUGAUGUUCUAAUUAAGUUCUCUUCCAGCUCUGACAUUCUCUGCUCUAAGAUCCUUUCCAGUUCUGACAGUCUAUGCCCUAAGGAUCUUCCCAGCUCUGACAUCCGGCAUUAUUGAUAACAGCUCACAUUUCUACAAAGCAUUUCUCACAGGAAAGCAGGGCAAGGAUGAUUAUCCCCAUUUUACAGCCCACCCUACCCCCAAGCUCAGCCACCUGACUGAUCCCAGGAUUCCAGAGGAGACGCUGAAUCCAAUUAGCCUGUGAGGCAACUUCUGCUCUGAGCCUGAUGCAACGUCGCCCCUUUAAUAAAGCCAGAGGAGCUGCAGAGAUAAAUGGGAAA
rnacentral:lncRNA from 1 species